rnacentral:rRNA from 1 species
GCCGGUGUAAAGACGGUAAUAGAGGGAUUGCUAGGUUUGAGUAGAGAUGAAGGACGUGGCAAGCUGCGAUAAGCCCGGGGUAAGCGCACGCGACUUAUGAUCCCGGGAUGUCCGAAUGAGAAUCUUAUGUUUUAACAUACUCCGUUACAUAGGUGGCGGAGGUCGAACCGUCGGAAUUGAAGCAUCUUAGUACGACGUGGAAGAGAAAUCAAUAGAGAUUACCCAAGUAGUGGCGAACGAAAAGGUAACAGCCCAAACUGAAUCUGUUAUGGUAACUUAACAGAGAUGUGGUGUAUACGGACUCAUAUAAUGAUCCUAGAACGUAGUUGAAAUAAUCUGGAACGUUUUGGCAUAGAGGGUGAUACCCCCGUAGACGAAACGGUAUAGGAUCAGUUGAGUACCAGAGUAGAUGUCCUUGGUAGUGGGCAUCGAAUAUUAGGAGAAAGUAGCUUCUAAGGCUAAAUAUAACUCAAAACCGAUAGUGCACUAGUACCGUGAGGGAAAGCUGAAAAGUACCCCGGAAGGGGGGUGAAAAGUGCAUGAAAUCUAUUACUUACAGACGUGCAUAGCAUGAAAGGUGAUUUUUCCUUAUUGGAGGUUCUAGCAAUAGAGCUAAAGAUUUGGAGCUCAAAUCGUCAGUGUUAUGCGUUCCGUCUCGAAACACGGGCCAAGGAGCUGACUGUCAUGGCAAGACUAAACCAGACAAGGUGGAGUCGAAGGGAAACCGAGUUCUCGCAGCAUUAGCGAGGAGAAGCGUGUGAAAGUGCGUUGAGUCAUGGCGGCCAGGCUAGAAGCCAGUCGAUCUAAUCCUGAGCAAGCUGAAGGCGGGCGAAAGCCCGCUGGAGGGCUGAAGCAGUUCUGACGUGCAAAUCGUUUGUGUGACUUGGGAUUAGGGGUCAAAAACCAAUCUAGACUGGCGAUUGCUAGUUCCAACCGAAGCGUCUCGUAGGGCGUCCUUAGUGGAGAUAGCGUUUCCUGUAGAGCACUGAUAAGGAAGUAUGGGGAAGAAAUUCCUCGCUUCCCAUUCAAACUCCGAAGGGAUAUGCAUUGAAGAAGCUAGGAGACGGGUUCGUGUGACGUAAGGUUCACGACCGAGAGGGGUUUAACCCAGACCGAAGUUAAGGUCCCCAAAUUUUUGCUAAGUGUCAAGCUAAAGUGUGUGUUCGCGCCAAGACAGCAGGGAGGUAAGCUCAGAAGCAGCUAUCCUUUAAAAAGUGUGUAACAACUUACCUGCCGAGCGUGGGCGCCACAAAAACGGACGGGGCUAAAGCAAAGUACCGAUACUUUGGAUACAUGCCAAGGGGCAUGUCAUGGUAGGUUGGCGUAGUGAUUGGGUCGAAGCAGGGCGGUGACGUCCUGUGGACCAUUUUCUAUUGCAGAUCUUGGCGGCAGUAACAGCAUAGUAGAGUGAGAACCUCUACCACCGCAAGCGCAAGGGUUUCCAGGCAAUGCGUUAUCAGCCUGGAGUUAGUCGAUCCUAAGGAUUACCUCAACAGAGUAAUUCGAAAGGGAAACUGGUUAAUAUUCCAGUACCUUGCAAGUUGCGUUAUUAUCUAUAUGGACCGCUUCCGGAUAGGGAGAGCAUAACCAUCGUUGUGUCUAAGCGUUCGAGGGAUGGGGAGUGUCGUAAUGACGAGAACCAUUCCGAGGCGUUAAUGGCUCUGCGUUAGCAGAGUUCUCUUGAUUCCAGGGGACCUUGAAAAUCUGUGUAGAGAGCGACUUGUAAGUUCGUACCGAGAACCGACACAGGUGCGCUGGCUUAGAAAGCUAAGGUGCUACGGGUAUACCGUAUGGUGAGGGAAUUCGGCAAAUUAGUCCUGUAGCUUAGGUAUAAGGGAUGCCUGCACACUUCAUGAGGAAUGGGGUGAGCAGGUUGCAAUGACAAGGGGGUUUCGACUGUUUAAUAAAAACACAGGCGACUGCUAGUCCGAAAGGAUUUGUAUAGUCGCUGAAUCCUGGCCGGUGCGGGUACCUAAAACUUGGGUUCAACCGAGCUAAGGGCCCGUUAACGCCGGGAGUAACUCUGACUCUCUUAAGGUAGCCAAAUGCCUUGUCGGGUAAGUUCCGACGCGCAUGAAUGGAACAACGAGAGCCCCACUGUCCCCACCUACAACCCGGUGAAGCCACAUAAGGUGGACGAACAGUCCAUCAUCUUCCAUCGGGGAGAGAAGACCCCGUGGAGUUUUACUGCAGCUUGUGCUUGUAGUAUAGUAAAGAUUACAUAGUGUAUNUGGGAGCNAUGCCUCAUUUUCUUUGGGAAAUGAGUGAAGCAACGAUGUAACACCAA